rnacentral:rRNA from 1 species
UUGGAAAAAAUUGAUCCUGGCUCAGGACGAACGCUGGCGGCGUGCCUAAUACAUGCAAGUCGAGCGGACAGAUGGGAGCUUGCUCCCUGAUGUUAGCGGCGGACGGGUGAGUAACACGUGGGUAACCUGCCUGUAAGACUGGGAUAACUCCGGGAAACCGGGGCUAAUACCGGAUGCUUGUUUGAACCGCAUGGUUCAAACAUAAAAGGUGGCUUCGGCUACCACUUACAGAUGGACCCGCGGCGCAUUAGCUAGUUGGUGAGGUAAUGGCUCACCAAGGCAACGAUGCGUAGCCGACCUGAGAGGGUGAUCGGCCACACUGGGACUGAGACACGGCCCAGACUCCUACCGGAGGCAGCAGUAGGGAAUCUUCCGCAAUGGACGAAAGUCUGACGGAGCAACGCCGCGUGAGUGAUGAAGGUUUUCGGAUCGUAAAGCUCUGUUGUUAGGGAAGAACAAGUACCGUUCGAAUAGGGCGGUACCUUGACGGUACCUAACCAGAA